rnacentral:RNase_P_RNA from 1 species
GUUAGUGGGUAAUUGCGUGCGGUCUAUGCCGCAUGAGGAAAGUCCAUGCUCACACAAACUGCGAUGUUUGUAGUGUUCGUGCCAGGUGAAAAAAUAAGCCUGGGUAGCCAGCAAUGGUUAACGGCCAACGAAACCGCCUAAGGGAAACUAUGGCUGAUUAGUUGUUAAAGUGCCACAGUGACGAGCUUUCAAAGAAAUGCGAAAGGUGGAACGCGGUAAACCCCACGAGUGGGCAACCCAAACGAUGGUAGGGGCGCUUGACCUAGCAAAUUGAAGUGAUGGUCGGGGGAGCAGCAAUGCUCGAGAUAGAUGAUUACCACCGAUAGGUAUCUGCCAGAUAUCUAUCGGUACAAAACAUGGCUUACAGCU